rnacentral:rRNA from 1 species
GACUUACGUUACUGCAUAUCGCGGCACAAUAUAAUCGUUGUGAUAUUAUUGAAUAUCUGUGUGGUGAGAUGAACCA